AGAGGAUCCGUCAGCCCCCUUGGGGGUGAAGCGGUGAAUUCAAGCCCCGGUAAACGGCGGUGGUAACUAUAACCAUCCUAAGGUAGCGAAAUUCCUUGUCGGGUAAGUUCCGACCUGCACGAAUGGCGUAACGACUUCCCCACUGUCUCGACCAGGAGCUCGGCGAAAUUGCAGUACGAGUAAAGAUGCUCGUUAAGCGCAGAAGGACGAAAAGACCCCGGGACCUUUACUAUACCUUGGUAUUGGCGUCAGUCGCGGAUUGUGUAGCAUAGGCGGGAGGCUUCGAGGCGCGGGCGCCAGCCCGCGCGGAGCCGCAAGGUGAAAUACCGCUCUAGUCUCGCUUGACGUCUCACCUCGAACAGCCAUCCUGUUCAGGGACAGUGCCUGGCGGGUAGUUUAACUGGGGCGGUUGCCUCCCAAAGAGUAACGGAGGCGCUCAAAGGUCCGCUCAGCCCGGUUGGCAAUCGGGUGUCGAGUGCAAUCGCACAAGCGGGCUUGACUGCGAGGACGGCGGUCCGAGCAGGGACGAAAGUCGGAGAUAGUGAUCCGGUGCCGGCGCACGGGCGCGGCAUCGCUCAACGGAUAAAAGGUACCCCGGGGAUAACAGGCUGAUCAUUCCCAAGAGUCCAUAUCGACGGGAUGGUUUGGCACCUCGAUGUCGGCUCGUCGCAUCCUGGGGCUGGAGCAGGUCCCAAGGGUUCGGCUGUUCGCCGAUUAAAGCGGCACGCGAGCUGGGUUCAGAACGUCGUGAGACAGUUUGGUCUCUAUCCUCUGCGCUCGUUGGAAUCCUGAGGAGGCCUGCCCAUAGUACGAGAGGACCUGGGUGGACGAACCUCUGGUAUGCCGGUUGUCACGCCAGUGGCACGGCCGGUUGGCUACGUUCGGAAGGGAUAACCGCUGAAAGCAUCUAAGCGGGAAGCCUGCUCCAAGAUAAGCAUUCCGUGGAACCUUCGAGUUCCUGUAGUCCCCAUGCAGAACACGUGGUCGAUAGGCCGGACGUGGAAGCCCCGCGAGGGGUGGAGCCGACCGGUACUAACGGGCGAACGCGGCACACU
rnacentral:rRNA from 1 species